GCAGCCACCAAGGCUGUGGAGGCAAGAGAUGGACAAAGCUUGGGAGUGCUUGGACCACAGUUGGCUGUGACUGUCAGGAGCCCCAUGAUCACCCAGUAGGUGGAAGUCACUCCUUACAGGAGACUACAGGGUGUGUGCAUAUGGGACUCUGACUGGGCCCCCACGAGCAGCCAUGAUGAGACAGAGGCUUUGAUCACAGUCACGAACAGGAAGUGCCAAUAAGAAGCCAAUCUGUCCGGCAGAAUUGCUGCAAUCCCCGGGGUUGUCUGGAGCUGCAGUCUGCCUUCCCCACCCUGAUUAGAAUGGACUGCUCAUCACUGUGUUGUUGACCCAGGAGGAGACCUCACAUGUGAAGUGACCAACAGGAAAGCUUAACGAUCUGGGGGCUCUGGACCUGCCUCCUGAUGGUGGUGGUGGCAAUCAUGACGAUGGUGAAGAUGGUGUCUCUGCUGUACACUUUCCCUAACACACGUGCUAUUUGAAGAUCACACUAACAUGCACAAAUAGCCUCGUAAAAUAUACACUGUGUAGAGAGUAUUUAUUAUUGCCAUCGUUAUUAUGAAUGCUGUACUCAACCACUAUGCUCCUGACGAAGCUCCAGUGAAAUGGCCUUUCACCAUAUGCUGUGUGUUCAUGAGCCCUUUCAUCUUCUAACUUCAAAACACCAAUGACAAGAUAAUGUCAUGCCAGCAAGGCAUGGCUUAUUGAGGAGACAACGAGAGGCAAGCCUUGGUGCAGAAAGCAGAUUUACUUGCUUAGCAUAUAUAUGCAUAACUAUGUCUGGGGGUUUCUCUCAGUCCCAGGUGAGUCCAGCUGGACAGCCUUCCAGAGACUGAACUCCCCCUAUGUUGAGCAUGUUUUGGGGGAGGAUUAAACCUCCAGAUUAGUCCCCCCCCACCCCCUGCCGUUUACUCUACAGAGGGACUAGAGGAAACAGAGAUUUCUCCAAUUGAAACACUAGACCCAACUGUAGUACAGCACUUCCUUUCCCGGCACAGUGUUCUCAAAGUGUAGCUUCAUCCGAGCCCUCUGGCAACCUGCAACACUAGAUGCCUCAAGCCCCUCCCUCGGAGUUUCUGACUUAGAAAAUCUUUUGGGGGUCCAUAGACUGAUCAUGCUACUGACAGGUCAUCAGGCUACACACUCAGGAUCCCUCUGGCUUGGGCAGUCUACGCAGGAGUGCCCCUAAGUUCUGCCCUCUAAAAUGACCCAUAAACACACCGCAGAAACAGGCAGUCUUAUGAUCUGGAGCUCAUGAAACUUAAACUAGAUGACAUUUAAAAGGG